UACUCUGUUUUUUUUUAAUCUCCCUCCACACGUUCCCUCGCACCAAUGUUUACAGCGCGCUCCCCCAUUUCCAUUCGCCGCCCCGAAUCCCGAUCUCCUCCAAACAUUUCGCGAAAAUUUUCAAGAUUCGCCUGGCUCUUGGAGCCUUCCGCCCAAAAUCGGCAGGAAACACAGAUCCGUCCGCUCCCUCCCACUCCUCUCCGGCGGAAAUUUUCCCCCGAAACUCAAAUCUUUUCAUCCUCCUCCCUCUUCUUCCCUCUUACCUUCGUUACAAAUACCCAUGGAAGAUCCUUCCAGUCCCAUCCCAAGCUCCAACCGACUCACCUCGCCGCCUAGUACAUCGCCGAACCCCAAUCCCGAGAGCGGCAGCUCUUCUUCGAGAUGGCAGUUGACCGCGCCGACAAGGAGAAUUUGCCGCCAGCGGCCGCCGUCGCCCAUCCUCAUGGCGUGGCUGUCAGGAGCUUCAAGCUGAAGCGGCUCGGCAGGUCGCGGAGGCGGGUGCCGCUCAGAGACAUCACCAACCUCUUCGCCGUGGAGUCCGCGGUUGCCCAGUGGCAGCAGGCCCUGCUCCAGCAGCCGCAGCCGCACGAGGGGUCGGCGACGGCGGAGCCGGCCGUGAAGAACGGGCUGGCCGGUGCUGUGCUGAAGGCCGGCAGAUACUCUCUCCGGAAGGAGUUUAGAUAGCUACCGAUUAUAUAUGGAUUAUACUGUUCAUUUCAUUGUCCAAUGAUUCAUUGGACUACAUUGGUUAGUUAGUUAGUUGGUUUUUUCAGUUCCUUAUUAUUCCUGGUGAUAGGAAAUGAGCUGCUGAAGCUGAAAGAAAAGAAAGAGAAACCUCAAACUGAAUUCGUAGAUCGAUUAAAGGUGUAGCAUACUGAAUUGGAAUCUGGAACUUUGCAGUAUUCAGAAAUUAUACUAUUUGGAGCUGAGAUCUGCUUCUCCAGUUCUCCAGGACUACGUGGCACUCUGAAUUAUGGAACAACUUUCAAGCCACUUCCUUUGCAGGCAUAUAGCAUCUGUGCCAUUGCUAGGCGAUCUCCUGAUUGAUCGUCAAUCCAGACGGGCAUGGAAAGAUGUUGAAACUGCUUCGGUACAACAUGUACUGUGGCUGCGGUAGAGGGAGCAUGGCAUUCAGCACAAUAUACCAGUACAGUUUCGUUGUAGUCUCAGUGAUUUCAGGUGUACUUGAGUCUAGCGAAAUUUUCUUGUGCUGUUUGGGUAGCAUAUUUAUUCAGUCAACUCAAACGGUUUUAUUUUUGCUGGAAAUUUAAAGGGCAUUAGGAAGAAUACAAAGUUGAAGGGAUACAUCUGACUAUCCCAGAAUGGCAGCAUGAGAUAGCUUAGUUCUGUUUAACAGGAUCUGCUUUGUGUUUCUGAAACAGUGCUAUAAACUAAGAACAUGUUUUAACAGGAUCCAGUCUUGACUAUGCUGCUUAACAGGCAUAUGGUGUUUUUGCUCUUCAGUGAGGAACACGAAAAGAAUAGAUCUGAUGCUGAUUAUGUGAGGCUUCAGGAGGAAGGAAAGACAGAACAGGCUGGAAAAGACUUUGGUUAGGGUGUACGACUGCUUUUUUCUACUGUUCUCUGGUCUCCCUUUCUAUAGUUUGCUCUGUACUUGUACUUUGCAAUCAUGAUGAUAUUUUCCAUCAUAUUUUUUGUCAAUACGCCAUGUCAAUAUCAUAACUAGCUAGAAGAAACGGCCUAACAUGCUCCCAUUUGAUUCUUGUGUGCAAGCCCAUGUUAUGAAAUGAUACAAUCAUGUUAGAUUCAAGGAAGUUGCUGGUCCGAUUCAUAUUACAGAUUUCAUUUUAUACUAUCUGUCGUUCCUGAACUACUAAAAAAUAGAAAAUGGCGCAUUUUCCUCUAAUUCAUCAUUCUAUUUUUUGUUGUACCUCAAAGAUUUAUGAGGUUACCAUAUAUUUCAUAGAAUGAUUUUCACUGUGGUUGCUGUUUUGUAUCCUUGUUUGAUAUUGGACCAUUGUUGCCUGAUUAACCGGCAAACAAUCAUGAUCUUUAUUGAUCCUUUUUCUAACUGUAGAUCGCCUUACUUUGAUCCAGCAACAAAGUAAGGUAGUUGCAGAGAAGCACGAAGAGGAAAAAAUAUCUCUGCAUUUUUCCUCAGGUAUCAAGGAAAUUAAUUUUCAGCAGAACUAGCUUUCUUCAAUAUCAGAUCGAUAUAAAGGAUGAGUUGCUCCACAUAUUUGGAAGUUUAAUGACAAUUGCUCAAGGACUCGACUCGUCGUCGUGUUAGUACGGGCAUCCGGUGGUUAUGGUGAGGUCUGGUUCGUCUUAGACGUCGUGGAGGUUGCCCAUGUUCGGGCAGUACGUCGCUCACAUCGCCUAGCAAGCUGCUCCCACCGCUUCAGUUCAGUUAAUUGUGGUGGAUAAAGAGGCGAGAACCAACAACAACAAGUAAUUGAUCUCUUUUCCUAAUGGUCGAACAACUGCAGCUUCAGUUUAAGCAAUAAGAGCCAUAUUCAGGUUAGAGAUAUGAUUAGAAACACUAAUGCCAUUCGCGAUAUAACUUGUUUUCAGCCCAGGGUUCUUAAGUCUUGUUUUCUGGAUUUGACAGAAAUUCAAUCAUUUUUUGAGGAAUUUUGACGAAAAAAUUGAACGCAUUUUGCUUUUGGCUCGAUUUGACAUGUCACUGCCUUUUUACUAAUUGCAAAUAUAUCGGUACUCACAGAAAUCACCAGAAAUUUGGAUUCUUUUGAAUAAAGUUUCUGGGGAAAAGAGCACUCUGGUUCAGUCCAGUUCAGUAUCCAUAAACAUAGCUACUUGAGCUCAAUACCAGUUUAGCACUAGGAUCUCCGAUUGGUACCGCGCAUGGUAACAAUAUACAGAAUUGGAGUAUAUAUGCGCUUACUGUAGAAACUUAACUUUUUUGUAAUGGGCAGCAAUCUAGAUUUAGUUGGUUCAGCGGUGAGUAGAGAGCAUGAUUGAUCCGAGUGCUAAACUGGUAGGCAGCGACCAACCGGUGGAGAUGGAGAGGAACAUGAAACAGAUUUGGGGAUGAAGAGAGAAGGCAGGAGAGAUAUCAAGUAAUACUGUUUAACAAUCUGCAGCUUAGUCAUCUUACAAACACCAAUCAUAUCCCCUUUCCUUUCUCACUCUAUAGCAAAUAGAUCAGGACUUGGGCUUUGUUAUUUUCUCCUGCCAUUCUGAAAGUUAAUCACUUGAUCUUUUAUUGCUUAAAUAGCGUACUCACGUACUGUCCGAUUGACGCAUCGGUGUAGGAACCAGGUUUAGUUAUAAAGAAAAAUCAAGAUUUGUAAAUUAACAAAUACAAAGAUGUUUUGUUGCUGGACACGAAGAUACUUCCAUGUUUUCGCCAUGAAUACUUGAAUAGUUCAUCUAAUUCGAGCGGUUACUAAUGUAAUGUACGAAAAUAACCAAGUCAAAUGAAAACUCCAAGAAGCAAAAAACACCAGCUAUUGUCAGGAAUUCUUCUGUUACCUUUUUGCAUACAAUCACCAAAUGCUUGCCAAGAUCAUGAACAUCCGUAGGCUGAAUAGUGUUUGCUAGCAGAGACCUGUGAAGUGUAUUUAAAAAAAACAAUGCGUGAAAUGAGGCAUCGAUGUACAAUUGCAUUGACAUUUGUUCUUUCGUAACCAAUAGUUUUACACGGCACUCCAUUAAUUUGGCUAGGAGUUCAGUUCGAUCAGUUUUGUUCUAAUGUUUUGUUCAUUUAUUAUUUUUUGCGGGAAAACAUUACUAUUUUCUAUUCGACACAUAGGGGAGAAACAGCACAAGGUGUUAUCCCAGCGGAUAAGAUUAGUAAAUUUAAGAACAAAAUUUGAGAAGGAGUGAUCUACAUGAUCCAGCAUUACCUGAUUCUGAGAGCAAAAGAAAAAUACAGAGCCACUGAUCAUCCUUUCAGGCUUUCUUUUAUUAAUACAAAUAUUGUGUGUCCUGUCAAUCCUCAGCUUCCUGGUUUUCCUCUCAUCGCUCAUAAUGCUCUUCCAUUCUCUGAAGUAGAAAACCGAAUCGGAUCAAAUGUGCUUAUGUCAGAUGUAAUUGCUCUAGUUACAGGAAUCACGGAUUUUCUUCCUCCUACUGUAAAUGCACGGGAGCCAAGACGUCAAAUCUUUAUUACCAACCGACAAUAUACUAUCAUUUUUCUCACAUUUACAGCAGUGUACAUCAUCCAUGAAUGACCACUUCUACAAAAUUCAGCAACUUAACUAAUUAUGCAGGAGACACGCAAUAGUUAUGCUUUGGGGAGAUUUUGUGCACUCCUUUGAUGCAGACACACCGCGCUCCUGAGCCAAGAGGGAACCCGUUUUGGUACUGUUUGUUGGGGUCAUGGUAGAUCGGUAUGCAGGCUCGAUGGCUUUUAAAAACACGUAGAGGCUGAAGACCAGACAGACCCACCUUUUGCCGAGUUUACUUUCUUUGGGCAGCAAGAACUAAUAACCGAAACAACUGCAGAAUGUGCAGCAGCCCAUGCGAAGGGUUUGCCACCUGAAAUAGAGAGGCUUCACGGGGAAGCGGAUUUGUAGCACCCGGGUGCUCCAAACCCCUAUACGAACAUUAAAUUCAAAAAAAUACCGAGAAAUUUGAAGAAAAAAAAAGAGAUUUUGGGAUAUCAAACCUGGGUUCCUGAUCUACUCCCGCGUGAAUUUUUGUGAAAAAAUACCAAGAAACGUAUUCGUGGCCAAAAAGACAAAAAAUCCUAUGUAUAAAAAAACUGUUUGGAUGGAUUUUUGUUCGGACAGUAUUUCCUUCGUCACGCAUAUGUUUCCUGGUAUUUUUUCAUGAAAUUUUACACGGGAGUAGAUUGAGAACCCAGUUUUGAUAUCCCUAAAUUUCAGUUUUUUUGAAUUUUUUGGUAUUUUUUACGUUUAAUAUUCGUAUAGGGGUGUGGAGCACCCAGGAGCUCUUGUGUAUUUUCUGGCUUCACGGCAAGAAAUUAAUUACUACAUUCACUACAAAUGAUCAAACUCUGAGAGUCGACUUCUACCAUUUCAAAGUGUAAGCAACAGAUCACUUCGACAACGAAAGACCACUUGCACAGUUUCCGAUGCGUAAUCCAGCAGCAGUUCUAGACAUUCAUGGCCCUUCAUCCUCUGCAUCUGCAACAACUGAAGAUCCUCUUGCAACACAACCGUCUAUUAAGGACGGUCAGCAGAGUAAUUCACCAUCUGAAUCAGAACCAGCUGAGCCACGUAAUGACAAGAUAGGCUCAAGCGGCAAGAAAAGGUCAGCAGAUAGCAACAAACUUGUGGAAACAUAGGCGAAGAAGAGGCCUGCAGCAAAAGAGUUGUUCCCUGCAGCAACCGCCCAGGAAAGUGAAGCUACUACGGAGAAGUAGACCACCUCUCGAAUAUAGUUCUAUCCAGUAGUCAUACCAGGCACACUCCGUUAUGUAUAUGAACCAAGAUGCAGAUAUGCAUCUAUGCCCGUCGAACUAAGUAGGUCGUGUUAGUAUCUUCUGUUGCACAAGCGUGCUGUGAGCCUUAAGCAUGUUGUUUGCAUCGCAAUAACAUCCUUUUGGCCAGAUUGUUGUAAACGCGUUCCAAGACAUGGACAUGUAUCCAUACCAGUUAAGUAAUUUAUGUUUAUAGAUAUAA